rnacentral:lncRNA from 1 species
CAUAUAAUAAUAAAUAAAUUUAAAAAAAAAAAAAAAAAAGAAAGUUUGGGAGAUUUAUGUGCAGGGCCUUGAAUGAGACCCACCACUUAUGUUCUCUACCCAAGUAACUAGACAUUAGGUUCAGUACACUGUGAGCAUACAGAGCAAGGCUCAGAAGUUAUAUUCCCACCGAGCAGUCUGCUUUGCCACAACAGUGAACCGCCUGAAGGAAAGCACACAUUGUUGGAAACAGACAGUUGUCACUGUCAUAUGCUUAGGAAAGUUUUUCUUAUUGCAUGCUUUCACCAGUCUUGUCCUCUGUUACUGGAGUCACCAAGGUGAUGAUUUGAUGUCAGCGUGGCCUUUGCUGUGAUGAAUAGCAGCAGCACACUCCGUGUCAUGUCUUGCAUAUGUUUGCUCCUGAACCAAUUUCAGCUACUUGAGUCUGAGUUUUCUCAGCUUUAGCCUGUGCUAAUUUGGUGACUGCUCUAUGUAACUAUGAUUCAAGCCCAGCCUAGUGACUGGUAUUCCGAAGACUUCAUCUUCUAUUCCCUAGUGCUUUGUUUGCCUAGCUAUCUGAUGCUGUGGAUCCUGUGUUAUUUGUUGAAACUUCUUAACAAACAUCUGCCUCGUAAGAAAAAAGGAAAGUAAAUAAAUACACUACUUUUUUUUUAGAGGUUUUUUUGUUUGUUUGUUUUAAUUGUUUAUUGCUGAAUGGUCUUUUGGGACCUUGGAAAGAAUUCUCUCUCUCUCUUUUUUUAAUGACUAUUUCCUAGAUCUAUUUCAUCCCUUUCUUCUAACAUAUCUUCUGAAGGCAAAGAGAUCUCUUGUAUGUACCUAGAGAUUCUGCUUUGAGUAUAACCAAAAGCCAAAAGGGGGCUUUGACAGAAUGCCGGUCAGUUAGGUAAGUGCAUCGUGAGGAAAGGAUGGACCAGUUUCAGCUGUAAAUGGCCACAACUAACAUAUAAUUAACAUCUAGUACUUGCUAGCUGUGAUGCUUAAUGUUAUCUAUCAAUUUUCCUGAACCCUGCUAAGAUUAAGACAUUAUUGUUGGAUGUUUCUAACGCUCUUCCUAAAUGAGGUUAGCAUGAGGGUCUCAGUAAGAUGGGCUGACCUCCUCAGUGCAGGCAGACACCAUCCCACAUACUGAACAGAACCAAGAGUGAAGUGGAAGGAAUUUACCUCUGUUUUUCUGCCUUGCUUCCUGAGCUGGGACAGCUUGUACCUGGGCUUUCAAUCAAUAACUAGAUACCUGAGGUUUCAAGCAUUCAGGUCUUGACUGAAUUAAUUAUGAGCUCCUGCUUUCCUGGGUGUCCAGCUCCUGCAGACAGCCAAGCCUUCAUAAUCCCAGGAGGUAAGUCUUCAUUAAUAAAUAUAUUUUCUUUCUCAUGUAUAUCCAUGUACUUACCAUCCACAUUUUAUUAGCUUAAUAUACACAUCCAUAUGCACAUAGAUGUGUAUAUCUAUAAUAUCUAUGCCUAUCUAUCUAUCUAUCUAUCUAUCUAUCUAUCUAUUUUUGCAGAGACCAUCAACUAAUGCAUGAAUCCUCAGCAACACACAAAAUAAAUUAACUAAGAGAUGAGUUUUCUCUAGUCAUCCUUCCACUUAAUACUUGAGAUCACCUCUGGAGGACAGUGUACAUUAUUGCUGAUUUAAGCAUGAUGAAACUCAGAGAGGGCUCAGGAACAAUCCUAUAGGGCACCAGUAAUACCUGGCAGUGAUGUUAGCGGGUGAUGUUUGUGUGACUCCAGGUCUGUGCUUGUUACCACUUAAGUGUCCUGCCUUGGAGAACAUCCACAAAGUUCCCAUUUUCCAUGUGUCAUCCACACAUUAACAAACAGACAAACACAACACAACACAACAAACCAAAACCCCUCCAUCUUCCACUAGUACUCUUGGAAAAUAAAAGUUACAAUAAAUAAAAAUAGGCCCAUCAAGAUAAUGUUCCUCCCAUCAAAUCAUAUGUGCCGAAGAAGGAACAGGCUUCUUAGAAUCCUGAGCACAUUUCCCACCAGAUGAACCAAGGUUUGCAGCUUCAACCACAGGACUUGACAGCAUCGCUUAAUAAAAAGAUUUAAAUCCACCUACAGCUUUAUACUCAAAACGAGAUUACACCAUCAUGCAAAGGCAAAGCAGUAUGGGAGAUAAUGUAACUGUUCCCUGGUGCCUAUUGAUUCUGUGUGAGCCUUCUGAUCUUCUUACAGUGGUUCAUUAGGACUGGCAUGGUUAACUAGAGCUAUGAUUAAUUAGCACUUCUGACAGAAAUCUGGGAGUCUCUGCAGGAAGAGUAAAUGCUACUCGCUAGCCAUAGCAAAAAUUUAAAACUAUUAGGCUUAUUUUCAUUUAGCUAUUCUAAAAUCUAGCUGAAGACAGAGAGAUGUGUAAUUGUGCGUGGUUUUAGGACAUUUUCACAUAAAUGUGAGUAAUAAUAGUGCCAGCCUCAUGGGGUUAUUGUGAAGACUAACUGACAACAGUGUACUAAGUAAUGACCAAGCAACAGGAGUUACUUGCCUUUUCUCUCUCUCUCUCUCUCUCUCUCUUCCUCUCUCUCUCUCUCUCUCUCUCUCUCUGUCUCUCUCUCUCUCUCUGUGUGUGUGUGUGUGUGUGUAGAAAGAGAGACAGAGAGAGACAGAGACAGAAACAAAGGGAGAUAGAAAGAUAGAACGUGGUGUCUCUUCUUAAAUCUCUACCUUUAUUUACUUCCAACAGUUCCUGUCUUCAAAUGUAGCUUGGAGUGCCAACAGAUGAAUUUUAUGGAGUUAUAACUAAAUGCAUAACAUUCUUAGAGAUUGUGUGCCACUUCCCUCAUCGUGGUUUUAUUACAUAUGCACUCAUCCAGCACACAGCUUGAUUUUGCAUGGAUCUGAUACAUGGGGAAUAUUUUCAAAGUCAAGCCCACACUUAAGUUUUUUGAGAUUUUUCACAGUACGCCUGAAAUGAGUAAUGUUUAUACAAAGUUCAAGACUUCCACAAGCAACUCUGCCCUCCUGAGUGUGACAGCUUGCUCCUGGCAUUGAGAAACACAGGCCUGAUGUUCCACAUCGUGUUAGAGGCUCAGCAUCUGGGCGGAAAGAUCCAUCUAUAAGGACUUUUGGAAGAAGAGUCUUGCUA